GUGCAGACUGCUUUCUCCAUCGAAACCUCCACAUGAAGAUCCUCAAGAAAUUCCAGUGGGAUGCUCUAGUUUGAAGAAAUGGAAUAUAACAAGGCCAAGGCAAUUUUCACAUUCCAGUACAUUAAAGUUGGUGCUUCUUGGCAUUGAAACUUUUGGAAACAGAAAGUACCACGUCACUGUUCAGAUCAAAACGGGGAACAAACUUUCAAAAGAAAGCCACAUGGGUGACAAACUGAGAUGUUGUGAAUAAAGUCCUGUCUCCGUGAAUAUCAUUUUCAUAAAUUAUACCAAAGUACUAUUCAUGGACGAUACAUACAUGUGUUCAGUGGAAGGGAAUACAACAAACCAGUUGUUAACGAUGAGUUGAAUGAGUGUGAAUGUUGUUUUAAUAAGCCAAUCGGGA